rnacentral:rRNA from 1 species
GGAUCCCCCGGGCUGCAGCCCAAUGUGGAAUUCGCCCUUCGCCCGCCGCGCGCGGCGGGCGGGGCGGGGGCACGGGGGGCCUACGGGAGGCAGCAGUGGGGAAUAUUGGACAAUGGGCGAAAGCCUGAUCCAGCCAUGCCGCGUGUGUGAAGAAGGCCUUCGGGUUGUAAAGCACUUUCAGUGGGGAAGAAAGCCUU